rnacentral:rRNA from 1 species
GGAGUUAGCCGGUGCUUCUUCUGCGAGUAACGUCACAGAUGUAAGGUAUUAACUUACACCCUUUCCUCCUCGCUGAAAGUGCUUUACAACCCGAAGGCCUUCUUCACACACGCGGCAUGGCUGCAUCAGGGUUUCCCCCAUUGUGCAAUAUUCCCCACUGCUGCCUCCCGUAGGAGUCUGGGCCGUGUCUCAGUCCCAGUGUGGCUGAUCAUCCUCUCAGACCAGCUAGGGAUCGUCGCCUAGGUGAGCCUUUACCUCACCUACUAGCUAAUCCCACCUGGGCUUAUCCAUCAGCGCAAGGCCCGAAGGUCCCCUGCUUUCCCCCGUAGGGCGUAUGCGGUAUUAGCAGUCGUUUCCAACUGUUAUCCCCACAAAUGGGCAAAUUCCCAGGCAUUACUCCACCGUCCGCCGCUCGUCAUCUUCAAACGACAAGUACUUUAGUAAUACGUUACCGUCUCGACUUGCAUGUGUUAGGUCCGUCGCCGCCGACGCGUUCAAUACUGAGACCACUAAUACAACUACUGA